rnacentral:misc_RNA from 1 species
GCUUCAUCAACUUGGUUGCCAAUACUCUUUUCCUGAUGGUAACUUGCUUGCCCAGUAGACUCUUUCACAUCUUCACUCUUCACAGGUGAAUGGGGAUCUGCCAUGGUUGUCGAUGCUUCCCCGACUUGGUUAUCAAUACUCUUUUCCUGAUGGCAACUUGCUUCCCCAAUAGACUCUUUAGCAUCUUCACUCUUCACAGGUAAAUGGGCAUCUAACAUGGUUGUCAAUGCUGCACCAAAUGCAU